UACAGAGGUCCCGAGCGUUGUUCGGAUUUACUGGGCGUAAAGGGUGCGUAGGCGGCUGGGUAAGUCUGAUGUGAAAGCCCCGGGCUCAACCCGGGAACGGCAUUAGAAACUGCCUGGCUUGAGGGAUGGAGGGGGGACUGGAAUUCCCGGUGUAGCAGUGAAAUGCGUAGAUAUCGGGAGGAACGCCAGUGGCGAAGGCGAGUCCCUGGACAUUACCUGACGCUGAGGCACGAAAGCUAGGGGAG
rnacentral:rRNA from 1 species